rnacentral:rRNA from 1 species
AGCGAACGCUGGCGGCAGGCCUAACACAUGCAAGUCGAACGAACCUUUCGGGGUUAGUGGCGUACGGGUGAGUAACACGUGGGAACGUUCCUUUAGGUUCGGAAUAACUCAGGGAAACUUGUGCUAAUACCGAAUGUGCCCUUCGGGGGAAAGAUUUAUCGCCUUUAGAGCGGCCCGCGUCUGAUUAGCUAGUUGGUUGAGGUAAUGGCUCACCAAGGCGACGAUCAGUAGCUGGUCUGAGAGGAUGAUCAGCCACAUUGGGACUGAGACACGGCACAAACUCCUACGGGAGGCAGCAGUGGGGAAUCUUGCGCAAUGGGCGAAAGGCUGACGGAGCCAUGCCGCGUGAAUGAUGAAGGUAUUAGGAUUGUAAAAUUCUUUCACCGGGGACGAUAAUGACGGUACCCGGAGAAGAAGCCCCGGCUAACUUCGUG